rnacentral:rRNA from 1 species
CGAGACUGUGAAGUUAAGCAAAUCCCAAAAAUAAACGUCUCAGUUCGGAUUGUAGUCUGCAACUCGACUACAUGAAGCUGGAACCGCUAGUAAUCGCAGAUCAGAAUGCUGCGGUGAAUACGUUCCCGGGUCUUGUACACACCGCCCGUCACACCAUGGGAGUCGGAAAUGCCCGAAGUCAGUAGUCCAACCUCGUGAGGACGCUGCCGAAGGUAGGAUUGGCGACUGGGGUGAAGUCGUAACAAGGUACC